AGAGUUUGAUCCUGGCUCAGAUUGAACGCUGGCGGUAUGCUUAACACAUGCAAGUCGAACGGUAACAGAGGAAGCUUGCUUCUUGCUGACGAGUGGCGGGUGAGUAACGCGUAGGAAUCUGCCUGAUAGAUGGGUACAACGCAGGGAAACUUGAGCUAAUACCGAAUACGCCCUACGGGGGAAAGCGGGGGAUCUUCGGACCUCGCGCUAUCAGAUGAGCCUGCGUUGGAUUAGCUAGUUGGUGAGGUAAUGGCUCACCAAGGCGACGAUCCAUAGCUGGUCUGAGAGGACGAUCAGCCACACUGGGACUGAGACACGGCCCAGACUCCUACGGGAGGCAGCAGUGGGGAAUAUUGGACAAUGGGCGCAAGCCUGAUCCAGCCAUACCGCGUGUGUGAAGAAGGCUCUAGGGUUGUAAAGCACUUUAAGUUGGGAGGAAAGGGUGAUGGUUAAUAUCCAUUAUCUGUGACGUUACCAACAGAAUAAGCACCGGCUAACUCCGUGCCAGCAGCCGCGGUAAUACGGAGGGUGCAAGCGUUAAUCGGAAUUACUGGGCGUAAAGCGCGCGUAGGUGGUUGUGUAAGUGGAAUGUGAAAGCCCUGGGCUCAACCUGGGAACUGCAUUCAAAACUGUCAGGCUAGAGUAUGGUAGAGGAUAGUGGAAUUUCCGGUGUAGCGGUGAAAUGCGUAGAGAUCGGAAGGAACAUCAGUGGCGAAGGCGGCUAUCUGGACCAAUACUGACGCUGAGGUGCGAAAGCGUGCGGAGCCAACAGGAUUAGAUACCCUGGUAGUCCACGCCGUAAACGAUGUCAACUAGCCUAGGGCCCCUUAGAGGGUUUUGUGGCGCAGCUAACGCACUAAGUAGACCGCCUGGGGAGUACGGCCGCAAGGUUAAAACUCAAAUGAAUUGACGGGGGCCCGCACAAGCGGUGGAGCAUGUGGUUUAAUUCGACGCAACGCGAAGAACCUUACCACCCCUUGACAUCCUCAGAACUUGUUAGAAAUAACUUGGUGCCUUCGGGAAUUGAGUGACAGGUGCUGCAUGGCUGUCGUCAGCUCGGGUCGUGAGAUGUUGGGUUAAGUCCCGCAACGAGCGCAACCCCUAUUGUUAGUUGCCAGCACGUAAUGGUGGGGACCCUAAGGAGACUGCCUGCGCAAGCAGUGAGGAAGGUGGGGACGACGUCAAAUCAUCAUGGCCCUUACGUCCAGGGCUACACACGUGCUACAAUGGAUGGUACAACGGGUUGCGAACCUGCGAAGGUAAGCUAAUCUCCAAAGCCGUUCUCAGUUCGGAUUGGAGUCUGCAACUCGACUCCAUGAAGCCGGAAUCGCUAGUAAUCGCGCAUCAGCCACGGCGCGGUGAAUACGUUCCCGGGCCUUGUACACACCGCCCGUCAAGCGAUGGAAGUCAGGAGUACCUGAUGUCGCCCCUUCAAGGGGUGCCUAGGGUAAGCCUGGUAACUGGCGCUAAGUCGUAACAAGGUAACC
rnacentral:rRNA from 1 species